CAUACCGAAAGGUAUGCUAAUACGAGAUAAUAUACUUUUAUCGCAUGGUAGAAGUAUCAAAGCUCCGGCGGUACAGGAUGGACCCGCGUCUGAUUAGCUAGUUGGUGAGGUAACGGCUCACCAAGGCGACGAUCAGUAGCCGACCUGAGGAAAAGAUCGGCCACAUUGGAACUGAGACACGGUCCAAACUCGUGCGGGAGGCAGCAGUGGGGAAUAUUUCAAAGUGGGCGAAAGCCUGAUGCAGCAACGCCGCGU
rnacentral:rRNA from 1 species